rnacentral:tRNA from 1 species
GGCUCGUUGGUCUAGGGGUAUGAUUCUUGCUUAGGGUGCGAGAGGUCCCGGGUUCAAGUCCCGGAUGAGCCC